rnacentral:snRNA from 1 species
AUACUUACCUGGCAGGGGAGAUACCAUGAUCACGAAGGUGGUUUUCCCAGGGCGAGGCUUAUCCAUUGCACUCCGGAUGUGCUGACCCCUGCAAUUUCCCCAAAUGUGGGAAACUCGACUGCAUAAUUUGUGGUAGUGGGGAACUGCGUUCGCGCUUUCCUCU